UACGAAGGGGGCUAGCGUUGCUCGGAAUCACUGGGCGUAAAGGGUGCGUAGGCGGGUCUUUAAGUCAGGGGUGAAAUCCUGGAGCUCAACUCCAGAACUGCCUUUGAUACUGAGGAUCUUGAGUUCGGGAGAGGUGAGUGGAACUGCGAGUGUAGAGGUGAAAUUCGUAGAUAUUCGCAAGAACACCAGUGGCGAAGGCGGCUCACUGACCCGAUACUGACGCUGAGGCACGAAAGCGUGGGGAGCAAACAGGG
rnacentral:rRNA from 1 species